AGCUUUUCCUCUUUUCUUGUUCACGUCAGAAUUGGGCUGAGAGAAAGGAACCUCGUUCAGCUCCACCCUUCCACGUUGCCAGCAUGCAUAUGGCAACUCCUCCAAGAACAUCAUCUCAGACCUUCAAAAGGGAGAACCCAGGCCAUAAAUCGUCAUUCACCCUUCUCUUCUCACCUUUCCUCUCGUCCCUGGACACAUCAGUCUGUUUGCGAGCCCCGAAACGCCUAGUUAGAGACCUCCGAUCAAAAAACUUUCUUCAUCAAAGUUGUUCGUCUACGUCUCCUUUAUCUAGUUUCCAAAUUUCAGCUUCAUCGGAGACGUUUUGAGACCUGUACAUCCCUCGAAGCAGAAGCUGUUCGGAAGCGAGCCUGUUCCGGAUUUCUGCUUAAACUCCCUCUCUUGCUCUACCCGAAUCCCCAACACCUUGCUUGAGACUGAUACCAACAGUUGUCUCUGUUUCACUUUGCAUGUUCGAGAUUGAGCAAACUUCUUGGCCUGCAACUAGGCUCGAUCCAAUCAACUCUCUCAGCUCUCAUUCCUGUCGAAUCCCUCAAGAAAAACUCAUCUUUUUGGUUAGUCUUUGGCUCGAUACUGUGGUGGAAUCUUGUGAAGUUGGUGGUUGCUACAAGGUUUCAUUGAGGCCAAGUGCUGCAAGAGAAAGCUCGAGUUCCAGAUUGGAUUGAUGUGUUGGCUAUUGAUGGGGAUGUAAGGAGAGGUCAGUUCCUCCUUGAGCCACCGGUGGUGGGCAGUGUGCACCAUGCCCUUGUUGUUGAAUAAUCCCCUUUGUCUCUAGCCUUGUGAUUAUUGAAUCCCGGAAAGUGAUUGGCUAGAUGGACGGUUAUGAUGAAAGUUGUGGAAGAAGAUCAAUUGCCGUGAGAUUGUAAUUACGUGGUGACGAUCACGUGGAAUCGCAAACCGGUUUUUAUCUAUUACUUUUUCUCAAAACGAUAACUCAUAUUUUUAAACUUAGAUAUGGGGGCGGGCAUGGGCAAUGACUGGAUGUAGGAGCCUAACCCCUACUUUAGUUUGUUUUGCAGGCUGUUGUUGUCGAAGCUUGGGUACGGAGGAUAAUCCUUGGAGGCCAAAAUUUAUUUUGUUUAAAGUUUAUUUUAUUUGGCUUGUUUGAUUUCGUUAAAUUUUUGUAACGUUAUGUAUGGUUGAUGAUGUGUGUGAUUGCUUACCACCAAAGUGGAACCCUAGGGUUAGAACCUCCAUUUGAGUUUAGGUCCUAGUGGGCUAGACCUAGAAGACUCACGUAAAUUACCUUUCAAUGAACCUAAUGUAAACUUGGGCUAAGAACUAAAAAAAUGACGUAGGUUCUAAACUCAACACAACACCACCUUCCUUUCCUCUUCAUCGCCUAGUUCGUAAUCUUGUGAUUACGAGCCAAGCCCACUAUACAAGCCCAAAAAAAUUUCGGGCUUAUAGAUUUCUUGUUUUCCAACCUUUGAGGAAUUCUAGGCCCAAAACACUUACUCCAAGUGUUGCGGGUGUAGGGUUCCUUGGGGAGGUGGCGCUGUGGUAAUCCGGUCUCCGGGUCGCCACAACGUUGCAGGCAGGAAGAGAGAGGUAUUGAGCUUUGCUGUUUUGUAUUUAGUUGUGUUUUAUUCAGGCUGAUUUUCUUGAAUUUGUUAUGUGUGUUUUCUAGUUUUGUAGUGGUUAUAAUCGGUGUUUGCUUCGUUUUUGUUUUGUAUCCAAUUAUUUGCUUUUUGAUUGGGUCCCGUUUGUGACGAGAAGAUUGGGUUGAAAAUAAGUGGAACAGGUAUGGUAUUUGGUUGAAAAUUGUGUGUGUUCUGAUGGGGCUUUAGCUUCAGAGCACAAAUACUCUGAACUUUUGUUUUGGGUCUGUUUAAGUUGAUCGGUUUCUUUCAUUUCUGAGUUGAAUUGAAAGAGAAUGGGGUUGAUUAGUUUGAUUAGGUUUUUACAAGUUUGGUUCUUCUGAGGAAUUUGUAUUUGAUUCAUUGCAGAUACAGGUUCUGGGCGGUUGAUUAGGCUGAUUGGGGAAAACAGUGGAGCUGCAAACGCCAAAAAUCUACUGGUGAAGACAAUUGAUGAAAUUGAUGCUAUUGUUUCAAAAGUUAUGAACUUUUUUGUUUUGUUCUUCUUGCUAAUAGUUAUUAAGUUAAUGUGGGUGUGGAAAAGUGCAAACUUGAAAAACUUGAAGAUUAUAGGAUGACAUUUUAUCUUUCUUGGUAGGACUUGAGUGUUCUUCGGUUAUGUCAUAUUAUGGUUUUAAGUCUUAGUCUUGACAUAUUUUUCCUCCAAAAUUUUACUCUGAUAUCUAUGCACAACCUCAUUUAUGUACCCAAAAUAGUUUCACUUGGAAAUGAAAUUUUGGUAUGGGAAUCAGUAAUUUUGAUUGAGAUCUUACAGUUAUGCAGUUUUCUAAGGUUGAAUUGCUCUGACAGGGCUUGGAAAGCAGAAGCACAGCUCUGUCAGGUUAAAGCAGAUGCAGAGAAAAUGAGAAUUGGAUUUCUUGAAAUUGGUGGUCAGCCGAAAUGGAGCAUUUAAGACAUACCUAUGAUGCCCAGGCAUGUUUGUUCUUCUAAAAGGCCGCACUAGGGAAGAGUCUUUUCAGAUUGGACAGGAGGUUACAUUUAAAAUCAGUGCUAUGAGUCCAAUUCCAGUUCCUUUGAAGAUGGAAAAAGUUUAUCAACCAUGCUUCCUCCUCACCAAGAAGCGAUAAACCAUUGUCAGAUAGAGUCCAAGUAGUACAAAAGGCCAAGUUAAGCUUCAAUGGAGAAGCUUCUUAAUCCAUAUGAUAAGGAGCAGGAGAGAAGAGAUACAAGUGAUGCUGUGGGAGAGUGGCUAACACAGUUUCUAAGGUCUCUGAAAUUCAUUUACUUGACUCUUAGGCCAGCGGCUACAACAUUUCUAUUCGUUUACUUUAGCAUUCCCUACUCCCUGCAAUAUUUGAUGUUGUCAUAGAAUGCUAUGAUAGAAUGAUAUUGUAAACUGCAAUAAUGUAAACCAAACAAUUUUAGAGAAAUGAAACUUUAACCUCUUAUUUUAUCAUUGUGAUCAAGAUAAAAUAAUCUAGCCACAUCCUUCAAUGCAGAAAUACCCAAAAGAAUAAUCAAAAUUUCCCAAAUUCAGAUCAAGAUUUCAACUUGUAACUUUUGCUUCUAAUUUCAACAAUCGAGUACUCGGAUAUCAAAACCUUAGCUUUGAUGAUAGUAGAUAUCAACAAAUUUCAACAAACUGUACUGAAUUUGAACAAUUUCGAGAAUGAACUUAUCUGAAUUUUGAAUUGAAACUUGAAUCAAUCUCUGAUGUGAAUGAAAUGAGAGCAAGAAUGAGCAUGAGCUUCAUAAAACACAAUCAGCUUGGUCACCAAUCCUGAUUUCCGAUCCAUUUUCCUUAAAUAUUUCCUUUUUUUAUUAUUAUUAUAGCAGGCCAACAAAAAAUUAUUUUUUUGAGGCCCCUGAAAUUUGAGGUUUGAGGCCCUAGGCCUUGGCCUGCUUCGCCUAGGCUCAAGGCCGGCCCUGAUCAGAGCCCAAGUAGUAGAUUCGUGUGGGACGAGUUAGACAAGAUACUUAAACGGUCUUAAAGGUAAGAGUCGAGUCACCUUGUUGCUAUAUA